rnacentral:rRNA from 1 species
GACGAACGCUGGCGGCGUGCUUAAUACAUGCAAGUCGAACGGAAAGACGAUGAGCUUGUGGGGUGCACGAGAGGGGAGGGGGGGAGUAAAACGCGAGUAAAAUGCACCUGAAAGAGGGAGAACAUCAGGAAACAGGGGAGAAUAUAGGGGAGGAGAUCCUGAUGCGUGGGGGGGGAAGGAAAGAUACGGCGGUUGGGCAUGGACUCGCGGGGUAUCAGCUUGAUGGGGGGGUAGGGGAGUACCAAGGUUUUGACGGGUAGCCGGCCUGAGAGGGUGACCGGCCACAUGGGGACUGCGAGACGGCCCAGACUCCUACGGGAGGCUGCAGUGGGGAAUAUUGCACAAUGGGCGGAAGCCUGAUGCAGCAACGCCGCGUGCGGGAUGACGGCCUUCGGGUUGUAAACCGCCUUCGCCUGUGACGAAGCGUGAGUGACGGUAAUGGGUAAAGAAGCACCGGCUAACUACGUG